AGACAUGAUGAUGCGCUGCAGAGGAGAAUGAUUAGAGAUGUGUCUCCCAAUGAUAUCUCCAUGAAGAGGGCCUUCGCACUUCACCAGUCAAUGGAGUCCAAGUUGAUCCAAGCCGCUAAAGAAGCACAACUGGAAACCAAUGAAGUGGAAGCUGAGG